rnacentral:misc_RNA from 1 species
AACGCACAUUGCGCCCAUUAGUAUUCUAGUGGGCAUGCCUGUUCGAGCGUCAUUAACUCCACUUAAGCCUAGCUUAGUGUUGGGAGUCUACGUAAAGGUAGUUACCCUGUAGCUACCCUGUAGUUCCUUAAAGAUAGCGGCGGAGUAGUGUUAUCCUCUGAGCUUAGUAAUUUUUCUAGCUUUCGAGUAGACACUGCCCUUGCCGGUAAACACCCUUCUUCUGAAUGGUUGACCUCGGAUCAGGUAGGAAUACCCGCUGAACUUAA